AACGAACGCUGGCGGCAGGCCUAACACAUGCAAGUCGAGCGAAGCCUUCGGGCUUAGCGGCGGACGGGUGAGUAACGCGUGGGAACGUGCCCUUUGGUACGGAAUAGCCCCGGGAAACUGGGAGUAAUACCGUAUGUGGUCGAGAGACGAAAGAUUUAUCGCCAAAGGAUCGGCCCGCGUUGGAUUAGGUAGUUGGUGGGGUAAUGGCCUACCAAGCCGACGAUCCAUAGCUGGUUUGAGAGGAUGAUCAGCCACACUGGGACUGAGACACGGCACAGACUCCUACGGGAGGCAGCAGUGGGGAAUCUUAGACAAUGGGGGAAACCCUGAUCUAGCCAUGCCGCGUGAUCGAUGAAGGCCUUAGGGUUGUAAAGAUCUCUCAGUGGGGAAGAUAAUGACUGUACCCACAGAAGAAGCCCCGGCUAACUCCGUGCCAGCCGCCGCCGUAACAC
rnacentral:rRNA from 1 species